GUGCUCUCUUCAGCAGCAUCUAUACUAAAAUUGCAAUGACACAAGAAAGAUUAGCAAGGUCCCUGUGCAGGGAUGACA
ensembl:snRNA U6 U6 spliceosomal RNA